rnacentral:lncRNA from 1 species
UUCACUUUUGAUAGUAUAUACUUGAUUCUUCUCCUAUCAUCUCCAAUGGUAGUGUAAAAAUGGAGAUUUAGAUCUCCGAAAACCUCUCCAAUGGAGAGAUGCAAGUUAUAUUUUCCGACAAAAUGUAAAAAUGAUGUAAAUAUACACAUUUUUCUACAUCCGCGAGGUAAAAAGUGGAUUUAGAUCUUUUCAUUGAAAUAGAAUUUGAAUUUAGAUUCACCGAGAGAUGUAAAUGAAGAUGAAAAGUGGUUUUGGAGUUAUUAUUUUACAUCCAAUUUUACACUACAUUGGAGAUACUCUCAUAGUACCAAUUGAGCCGAUCAACCCAUAGUACUCAAAGGGAUGCCUCGGAUGACGUCACUAUCCAUCGGGACAUAAUUGUUUUCAAUCAAUGCAUCAUCUCAACCGCUACAAUCAUUCAUCAAACCUGGAACCAGGCCUCAGCCCUAGAAUUGGAAAUAGGUUGGAACAAAGAAUCUAGGCGACAGCCAUGGAUCCUCAUAAAUGCUAAUAUUGGCGUCUUCUCCCACAGGCCAUCUAGUCCCUUUUAGUAUAAGUUCUUGCCACUGCAAUAUGCUUUUCCAGAUAAAAGAAGAACAACUAUCAAGAGCACUCAUGAAAGAUUUCAUUGGGUUGGAGGCUAUUAUCAGGAACCAGUCCAUGCUGGACUGGUACGGCAGCUAAUGUAUCUCUAGGCGGACUUUCGAGUCUGUAAAAAAUGCUCACAGACUUUACUCGAUGAGGUUCCUUAUCGUAAGUAGAGGGAACUCAGGUUGGCCUACUGAGUGGAGGCCGCCAGCUCGAGCUUGGGAAGUGUCCAUUGGUAUUUCUCUGAUGGAAGGUUUUGGCAAAAUGAACGGCAGUAUGCGAAUUUAUGAUUAUGACACGCCACCUACUAAGAUCUUUGAUGUCUAGCGUAGGCUACUGUUAGUGCAGAGAGAAGUACUGUGUCAGACAAUAAUUGUACGCUGAAAGAAGAUAUUUUUGAGCAAUAAAAC